CUUGUGCCGUGAUCCAAAGAAGAGAGGGGAGAGGGAGAGGAAGAGAAGAGAAGAGAAGAGGAUGAAGAUUAGGGCACGCCGCCAUCCGUCGUCGCCGUUCCUCUUCAAAAACCGUGCAGCGAGGUUGGAUGCAAGGAACAAGAGGGAACAGAGUGGAUUCGCCGUAGUUGUCAUCACCAUCACCGAUCCCUUUGUUUUUUUUCAAGGGCAAACCCUAGGUGGUGCACCUUCGGACCGUGCUUAGCUCACAUUCUUGAUCUUCGGUGAAGGCAAGUAAACAUAGCGAUAUGGUCUACUCGCUUUAACUUUGUUAUUUGAAUUGCCUC